rnacentral:other from 1 species
AAUGCCCUGCUGUGUACGUGAUGCUGCUAGAGGUUUUGAGCCAACACUUUAAGAAUGGAGUCCUUCCUCCGUUGGGGGACGCGAUAGGCUAGAGCCAAGGCGGAGCCCACGGGUAGAACUCCACCUGCGAAAGCAGGUUCAAAACAACGCCGCACACGACAUGGCGGGGUGAUU